rnacentral:rRNA from 1 species
UACAGAGGGGGCAAGCGUUGUUCGGAAUUACUGGGCGUAAAGGGCGCGUAGGCGGCCUUCUAAGUCGAACGUGAAAUCCCCGGGCUCAACCCGGGAACUGCGUCCGAUACUGGAAGGCUUGAAUCCGGGAGAGGGAUGCGGAAUUCAUGGUGUAGCAGUGAAAUGCGUAGAGAUCAUGAGGAAGACCAGUGGCGAAGGCGGGUCUCUGGACAGUUCCUGACACUGAGACACGAAGGCCAGGGGAGCAAACGGG